rnacentral:lncRNA from 1 species
ACACGAGCAAACCGGUUUUGCAAUAGAUAGCGAAAUCUUCGCAGUUGUUGUCCAAGAGAUGAUACUCACCAAACCCAUUUCUCAAUAAGAGGAACUUGGCGCGUGCAACGACGUCUUCAGGAGGAUCUGAAGCUGCUAUAGUGCAGGUACCUCCUCGCUGCUUGGCGAGAAAGAUGGCCUUGGAGACAUUGUACUCGAAGAGAUAGAGGUUUCCUCCGGAGAGAAAACAGUCAAGACAAGAAGUGAUGACACCGUUGAGAUUGGUUUGGUCUCCGCAAUCAGGACAAGGGUUGUCUCCUCCGUGGUUAGGAACUGAACUAACGAUGAUCUUGUCAAGAAUAGUCCCUGUUCCGAUCUCUAAACCACCUCCACGUGUGAAAUGGAUCACUUUCCCAUCUCCUACAUAGAUUCCUGUGAAAUUGCAUACAUAAUAGAAGAAAAAAUCACGCGUUAUUCAUCAUAUUCUCAGAUAUAAUUAAAAAAGAGAGAGAGGGGGGGGGGGAGGAGAUAUGGAACCGUGAUGGGUAUAGAUGUAAGAACGCCAUGAAUAGAUGUGAUCGCCUGCUUUGAGUUCAUCUCUGGAGAUCUUGUUCGAGAGCAAUCCCAUCUUCUUUCUUCUUCUACGGACAAAGGACAGAUCCGAUUUUGCUUUAAUGAGUUGGGGUUUUUUUUUCUGACUUUUUCCUUGAAUUUAUUAUUACGAAAGGAAUUUAUUUUAUUAUUAUUAUUUUAUUACCAAACCGUGUUCCUUCUGGAGCAAGCAACACAACUCCUAUUAUUUUACCAUAAAAAGCCCUUUCUUAAAUCGUAACACGGUAACAGAUAAUACUCAUACACGUAGGAAACACAUCACGUGUCGUGCGUUGGAUAUGAGAAACCGCGCAUUAACAGAUUUUCGAACUUUCCUUGUGUUUAUGUUUAUACCACCUCUGCCAAUGGGCCCCACGUUAGAUCUUUGAGAACUUUACCAUCUUACCGACAAUUGGUACGUUGUUUUGAAAAGUUUGAAAGACUUGUUUAUUGAUCAACUUGCAACAUGCUUUAGUUUAAAAUAAUAAAGUAUCGUGACCACGGACAUGACAGCCUAGUUGAUUUAAGCGCAGAUGUUAGUGUUGUUAGAGCAUGAUUAAUGAGGGUGCUUAGACGGGGGUACUUAGCAAAAAAUUAAUAUAAUAGCGGAUGAGACUCACACAAAAACUAAGCACAUGUGUUUAUUCUGCUUAAUUAAGCACCAGUGUUAGCACUGUUUCGCAGGCUCCACUGAUACGUGGCGGCCCGCGAUUAGUUCGUUUUUAAUUUUUUUUUUUAAAUCAGAAGAAAAAAAAAAAAAAAAAUUAAACAAGGCCCACGCGUUUCCGUCCAAAAUCUCCGUGCAAGUCUCUCAAAUCAUCGACGGGAGGAAGACGAGAAGUGCCACUCUCUUCUCAGCCGCUUCCACCGACAAGGCCAUCACCACUGCUCAGUCUGUCUCAUCCACUGCAUGUGACAGGUACUACUCUUCUUACACAAGUCAUAAAGACUGUUCAUUUCGUUACUGGGUCGAUUAAAAAUCGAGUCUUUUAGCUUAAUUCGAACUUGGGUUGCUUCCAAUUUAUACAUUUGCAACCGAAAGCUUUCACCUUUAUGUGUUCUGUCUUACUGAAAAGUCUCACCUUUUGUUUUUUUUUUUGUAGAGUGAGGAGGCAUACGAUCUCGGUGUUUGUGGGUGACGAGAGCGGUAUAAUCAACCGUAUAGCGGGAGUGUUCGCUAGAAGAGGGUACAAUAUCGAGUCUCUCGCUGUGGGAUUGAACGAAGACAAAGCUAUGUUUACCAUAGUUGUUCUUGGCACUGACAAAGUCUUGCAGCAAGUUGUAGAACAGCUUAACAAACUCGUCAACGUCAUCAAGGUUUUUUUUUAAGUUUGUUCUCUUACUAGUAUAGUGUCAUUGAUAAUGACUAAUCUUAUGCUUAUUUUGGUUAAGGUUGAAGAUCUCUCCAAGGAGCCGCAUGUGGAACGUGAGUUAAUGCUGAUUAAACUUAACGCUGAUCCAACCACCCGCUCUGAGGUAAAAACUAUAGUUGAUAUUGCACAAAUGAACUACACUCUGAACUUAGUUUUUUUAGUAUUGGUUGGAUGAUAUGAUAAAUUCAGUCACAUUGGAAAAAAAAACUUUUAAGGAUAUGAAUGAAAGGAGCCUUUAAAUUGAGUCACACUAGAGAGCUUUUUUUUUUUUCCAUCUAAUGAUUAGUCGAGUUGCAUUAAAAUCACAAUUGGUAUAGAUGAAUAUGGAUGGGGAGAUGCUUUCUUCCUUUUUGUAUUAACUGAGUCCUGAGUCACACAUUCACACUAAGGAGCCUUUUUUUUUCCUUCUAAUGUUUCUGUGGUCUAUACAGAUCAUGUGGUUGGUGGAUAUCUUUAGAGCAAAAGUGGUGGAUACUUCGGAUCACACUCUAACGAUCGAGGUCAGUCCUAUUCUUCACGUUAUAUGCAUUCAUAUCAAAAUAGUCAAUAUGGUUCUAAUGAGUCUCAUCCUUUUUUUUGUUCCUUAGGUAACUGGAGACCCAGGAAAGAUGGUUGCACUAACAGCGAACUUAGAGAAGUUUGGGAUAAAAGAAGUCGCUAGAACAGGGAAGGUGAUCUAUUUCAACUCCCUACUGUCUUUCCAUCCUUAUUAUCUGUCUACAACCUCAGCUUGUAACCACUUUUUGCCUUUAUUUAAUUUAUUUUCGUCUUGAAAUUUGUUUUUGGACGGUUGGAGUCACAAGUAUCAAUACUUAUAGCCACUUGUAGGUUUCACUUGGAAGACUUGAACACUCUAAAGGUAGAGACAGUGUUACAUAAGACUUAACUAUUAAAUGACAUGUUAACGUCUUACAAGACAACUCAUUAGUUUAAUUUGAUCUCAUGUAGUCAGUUUCUGUGUUUAAGUGACUGUAAUCAUUAAUCAAUAAUUUCAAUCAGUUUCUUUUUUCCAUUCCUAACCAUUGUUGGAUGCUAUUGUUGAACACUAGAUUGCUCUGAGACGGGAAAAGAUGGGAGAAACUGCUCCGUUCUGGAGAUUUUCAGCUGGAUCAUACCCACACCUCGUAAACCAAUCAUCUCAUGAGACUGUUGCAGAGAAUACAAAGCGAGCGUUGACUGGUGGAAAUGGCACUGCAUCAUCUGGGGUAUAGAUUAACCUUAUUAGCUUAUUUGUUUUUUCUCUUUCUUUUGCUCUACAUAUCUAAGCCCCUGUGGUAUGUUGUUAUUUUAGGGUGACGUCUAUCCAGUGGAGCCUUAUAAUGAUUUCAAACCGGUCCUUGACGCUCAUUGGGGAGUGGUCUACGACGAAGAUGUAAGAUACUUACCGCAUUUGACGCAUAUACUUUUCAUUUUGAGGUUAAAUUUAAUGUAAAACUGUUUAAAUGAUUGCAGUCGGAUGGUCUGCGCUCCCACACAUUAUCUAUACUUGUAGCCAACGUUCCUGGAGUUCUCAAUUUAAUAACCGGAGCUAUCUCCAGGAGAGGUUAUAACAUUCAGGUUAUUAUGCAGACACUCUCACUCUUAGUUUCACUGAUUACUAUUCUUUCAACAAAUAUGUGAAAGUUAUAAUUUUUAUUACUCCAGAGUCUAGCUGUUGGUCCUGCUGAGAAAGAGGGCUUGUCUCGGAUCACAACAGUUAUCCCUGGAACUGAUGAAAACAUCGACAAGUUGGUGAGGCAGCUUCAGAAGCUGAUUGAUCUUCAUGAGGUGAGCUAAUGGUUUGAACAACUUAAUAAUGUAGUAAAUACUCUAUAAAAAUAUUAAUGUUGGGACUUUGAUAUUUCAUUAAUUUGUAGAGUUACUACUUAUACAAAAUUCUUUUUAGAAAAUUUAUAUAAUCUAAUGUAUGUUUUUUAUGUAAAAUAAGAAGAAUACUUGAUUUUAUAGCAUAUGCAUUGAUAAAAUUUUAUGCUGUUCUUAUUCAAUCAUUUGGUGUAUAGAAAAUGUAUACCUUUAAUGUAAAGUGUAAAAAUGACAUAAUAACAUUAAUAUAUUCAGAAAUAUUAAGAAAAGUUAAAGAUAGACUUCACUAUGAAUAAAAAACAAACUAUACAAUACAUACGGUUUAUAUUUAUAUAAAUUUUACAUUGGAACCAUACAUAUUUACAUAAGGUUUUUCAAAAAUUAUUAAAUUAUUAUCUUAUUGAAUUAUGUCAAAUUUUACACUAGUCCAAUUUGGUAAAAAAUUUAUUAAUUUAUGGAGUUUCUAGUGUACAUUUGUUUUUGGUUUUUAUAGGUCUAAUAAGAUGUUUCCUUGUCAUUGUGUGUGUUCCAGGUUCAAAAUAUAACCCGCAUGCCAUUUGCGGAGCGAGAACUGAUGCUCAUCAAAGUAGCUGCUCAUACUUCUGCAAGGAGAGAUGUUCUCGAUAUCGCUCAAGUGUUCCGAGCUAAAGCCAUUGAUGUCUCUGAUCAUACUAUCACUCUUGAGGUAAUUGCCACAAACAAAAAAAAAAGACUUAGAAUUUGAUAAUAGCUGAUGAAAAAUCUUCGGUUUGCAGGUUACAGGGGAUAUCAGAAAGAUGGCUGCAUUGCAAACGCAGUUAGAGGUCUACGGAAUCUGCGAGGUAAUAUAAGUUCAUGCUGCUUCCUUUAAAUCUCAUCUCUUCACAAGUUUUGGCGAUACUAAUGGUUUUGUAUUUGGAGAAAUGAAGGUGGCUAGGACAGGAAGAGUGGCAUUGGUAAGAGAAUCUGGAGUGGAUUCGACUUACCUCCGUGGAUACUCUCUUCCUUUGUAGUUCCAAAGGUUUAAUAACAAUCUCUUUAACAAUCAAAAACGCAUGAAUUGUUGUCGUUUUUAGUUAUAAAAUAAAACGAUCUUCUUGUGCAGAGGACUUGCUUGCCACCUGUUACUGGAAACUAGUCAAGGACUUGCACGUUGUUUGAUCAUUGUGUGAAUGGAUUAUCUCCUCACGGUCAUGGUAUUUCGAGUUGUUGUUGUUGUAGGACUUAUAUUAGAGAAUGUGGAAGACUUAUGUUUGUUUAGUCAACUAGUCAUCACUACUUUUCGAAAAUGUAAAAACACUAUAUCUAUCUGUAGUUUAUCCAAUAAUCAUAAGUUUUCAAAGGCUUGUAAUAAAUCUGGUGGUUAAAAAUGGCGGGGUUAUGAACAUAUAAACACACUGAUCUUUAACUGAACCAACUUAGUUAUGUAAAAUACGCUUCAUGGCUGGUAGUAAAUUUUGUAUACAAUAUCUAACUGAUGGACAAGUGGGAAUAUUCAAGGAUAGAUCAGCAGCUGCUAUGUCAACAUUUGGUGAUAUAAUACCAGCUCAAACAGCUGGUUUACUCUCUUCUUUCACAACCACCAGGUAUGAGUGAUGCUGAUCUUCGUUUUUGUGUCUCUUAACCCACCCGAGUUUUUAUAAAUCACGUAGAAGAUGAUUGCAUGAACCGAGAAAUAGAGAUAUCUUUGUCAUUAUACAAGUUGUUAGGUAAACGAAGAGAUCAAGUUUUGUAAUAGUGUUUGAUAAGGAACAUGUAAUUAAGUAAAGAGAUUUGGUUCCACCCAGCUUAUUAUUCUCAGCAGCAGCAUCGUUGUAGCGACUAUCUGGGGAAGGAGCUUGUGGUAUAUUUACUCUCAAUUUCUCUCAUUUAAUAUAGUUUUACUGUAUGUUCCACUUUCAUAAAUAGUUAAAAACACAGUUUAUACAAUACAUAACAAAUUAGUCACCGACUCAUCAACCAUAAAAAGUGUUAACUAAGUUUACACUCUUUGUUGUUGUUGUUGUCUGAUUUCCCCUGUAUAACUGCCAUAAGUGUAACAAGCUCUUCCACAGGGACCUUACGAACAUCUUUCCUCACACCAAUGUCAUAAGCCAAACGACUAAUACAGUAAUUACCAUAUCCCGUCAAUGCCACGGCUCCAACACCAGUAGCUACAGCUCCAAGCGUCGUAGAAAGAGCACUCGUUGAAGCAGAAACCGUCAAAGCUGGAGACGACGCUGUCGCCAAGGAACCACUCGUUCCCACCCCUAAAGCCCUGAGUGUCAAAGUAACAACACCACCCGCCGCACACACCGAAUUGACCUGGCUACUACUCCCCGACUUGGUCACCGACAACACGAGCAAACCGGUUUUGCAAUAGAUAGCGAAAUCUUCGCAGUUGUUGUCCAAGAGAUGAUACUCACCAAACCCAUUUCUCAAUAAGAGGAACUUGGCGCGUGCAACGACGUCUUCAGGAGGAUCUGAAGCUGCUAUAGUGCAGGUACCUCCUCGCUGCUUGGCGAGAAAGAUGGCCUUGGAGACAUUGUACUCGAAGAGAUAGAGGUUUCCUCCGGAGAGAAAACAGUCAAGACAAGAAGUGAUGACACCGUUGAGAUUGGUUUGGUCUCCGCAAUCAGGACAAGGGUUGUCUCCUCCGUGGUUAGGAACUGAACUAACGAUGAUCUUGUCAAGAAUAGUCCCUGUUCCGAUC